GCCCAAGUGGUGGAAUGGUAGACACGCUGGUCUUAGAAACCAGUGCCGUAAGGUGUGGAAGUUCGAGUCUUCUCUUGGGCACCA
rnacentral:tRNA from 1 species